GAUGAACGCUGGCGGCGUGCCUAAUACAUGCAAGUCGAGCGAACAGAUGAGGAGCUUGCUCCUCUGACGUUAGCGGCGGACGGGUGAGUAACACGUGGAUAACCUACCUAUAAGACUGGGAUAACUUCGGGAAACCGGAGCUAAUACCGGAUAAUAUAUUGAACCGCAUGGUUCAAUAGUGAAAGACGGUUUUGCUGUCACUUAUAGAUGGAUCCACGCCGCAUUAGCUAGUUGGUAAGGUAACGGCUUACCAAGGCAACGAUGCGUAGCCGACCUGAGAGGGUGAUCGGCCACACUGGAACGGAGACACGGUCCAGACUCCUACGGGAGGCAGCAGUAGGGAAUCUUCCGCAAUGGGCGAAAGCCUGACGGAGCAACGCCGCGUGAGUGAUGAAGGUCUUCGGAUCGUAAAACUCUGUUAUUAGGGAAGAACAAAUGUGUAAGUAACUAUGCACGUCUUGACGGUACCUAAUCAGAAAGCCACGGCUAACUACGUG
rnacentral:rRNA from 1 species